rnacentral:rRNA from 14 species
UGGUAGGCAGUUUGACUGGGGCGGUCUCCUCCUAAAGUGUAACGGAGGAGUUCGAAGGUACGCUAGGUACGGUCGGACAUCGUGCUAAUAGUGCAAUGGCAUAAGCGUGCUUAACUGCGAGACCGACAAGUCGAGCAGGUACGAAAGUAGGACAUAGUGAUCCGGUGGUUCUGUAUGGAAGGGCCAUCGCUCAACGGAUAAAAGGUACUCUGGGGAUAACAGGCUGAUACCGCCCAAGAGUUCA